rnacentral:tRNA from 1 species
UUAAAAAUAGUUUAUUUAAAAUUUAAGCUUUGGGGGCUUAGGAUACACACAUUGUUUUUUAAA